GUCUCUUUCAUUCUUGAUAUAUACUUUUUGUGCUUUUCAUUCCCCCCACCCCAUAGCUCUGUUUACUUCAUUAGAUUUUUUUCUUUUUUUAUGAAAUGACAUCUUGUGGUUGUGGUGACUCUCCUGCAAGAUGAAUCAUUUCUAGGUUUCUGACUGUCAAACCAGAUGGGUCCCUAGCUGCGCCUAUACCUGUCACCACCAGUAUGUGGGCUGAACAGCACAGUGCUGCUUGAAGACAUGAAUUCAAGGAUGGUUCUCAAUGGGAAGAAGCACAGAGGCCAAAGGGGAAAGGUCAGAGGCCUCACUGCCCCCAUCCCUCCAUCUCCCACACAGAAGCCUGCAGGAGCAGCAAGAGACAUAGCACUCCUCCCCUGCAGAGACCACAGAAUCAUGGCGUCAUCUUGGAAGCAAAGAACAGCCCUCACCAGACACUAAACCUGUUGGCACUUUGAUGUUGGACUUCCCAGCAUCCAGAACUCUAAAAACUAAAAUUACUCAGUGCUUGUUAUUUUGUUCUAGCACACAAAUGGACUAAGAUAUUGCUAUAUUUUCUAGUGUUGAAAAUACAUUCAAUGUAACAAUUGCCCUCAGAUGUUGUCUAACAUAUAACUAAGAUCUAAAAAAUGCAACAAAAGCUUUGUGUUUUAGACUGGUGUUGUAUAUAAGAGUAAGAGGAGAGACAGGAAACUAGCCUGAUUUGAGAGGGAUGUAUUUGGGGCACCCAGUGUAACACCACACACAUAGAAGCCAAUAAAUAAAUGUUUGUUGAGUUAAUAAAAAGUGAGGUCUGUGAACAGGGGACUUUAUUAUUAUGGGAGGCACAGGGUGCAGUAGAAAUGGCUCUGGCCUUGAGGACACAUCUGUCCUGCACAUCUUUUGCUGCUCCUUCAUCCACUCCAGCCCUUAUGUACCUUAUGUACCUUAUGUACCCAUGAUGGCCUCCACUUGAGCUCUCUCCCCUUCUGGCUCUCAGAUAGGUAGGGCCAGUGGGGAGCAAUGGGAGAGGUCAGAGGGAGAAGGGAAGAGAAGGAGGCCACAGUACUCAAUCCUUGACCCCUUCCUUGUAAUGUCUAGGGAUAGCUGUGUCUCCCAAUCACAAGCCACUGUCCUGCCCUUUUUGACCUCCGACCCCAUCAACAUUCCAAGGGUGGAAAUGGUGAGGUUGGUGCUCUCCUCUGGGCACUGUUGUAACCUGUGGCUUCCCAACACCCUGCUGUAAACAGUCUUUUGAUGAAAGUCUUCUCAAAUUGCUUAAUUUGGACAGUGACAGCCUUUCCCACAUGGGCCUGUACAGCUAUGCUUGUUCAUAGGGAACACUUGGUUUUGUGCAGUAAAAAUCCAGUGAAGUGUGUUAAAGAAAAAAGCAAAGACAUGGGGUGAUGCAUGAGAAGCUGUUGAGUAACUUCUAGGGCCCAGAGGCAAGGUCAUCAGAACCCUUCCCAUGUGGUGCCAGAACUGGAACUAGAAGGUCAGCAGGAAGUAAAAUGGCCAUGCAAGGCACCCCCCAGGCCUCAGUGGGGCUUUCAUAGCUGCUUCCCUCUGCAUGUCCCCCUGUCUCUCCCCACUAGCCAUGCCUGUCUCUCUUGGUUUCCCUGGUGAGAGAUGUUCCUCCCUUAAUUUACAGGUUCACAUGUUCUUAACUCAACUCACUAAGGUUCACAAUGCCUCUUAGGCCUUAAAAGAAUAACUAGGCUUUUCCACACAGGGCCAACACUCCACGCUUAUCCAAUUAGCUAUGGCAGGAGGAUCUGGGUCUGUUGUAUUUCUGCCUUCAUGAAUGAGGAAACAGUGGUAUAGUUACAUAAUUUUUAAGGUCACAUGGUGGUAGGACAAG
ensembl:lncRNA